UACAGAGGGUGCGAGCGUUGUUCGGAAUUACUGGGCGUAAAGCGCGCGUAGGUGGUCUUUUAAGUCCGACUGUGAAAUCCCCGGGGCUCAACCCCGUGGGCUGCAGGGGAUACUGGGAGACUGGAGACACGUAGAGGCAAGCGGAAUUCCGGGUGUAGCGGUGGAAUGCGUAGAGAUCCGGAAGAACACCGGAGGCGAAGGCGGCUUGCUGGGCGUGAUCUGACGCUGAGGCGGCGAAAGCGUGGGGAGCAAACA
rnacentral:rRNA from 1 species